CCCUUAGAUGUUCUGGGCCGCACGCGUGCUACACUGAGUGGAUCAGCGGGUCAGGUUGCGCGAAAGCGUUUCCUAAUCUUUAAAUCCGCUCGUGAUGGGGAUUGACGGUUGCAAUUUUCUGUCAUGAACGAGGAAUACCUUGUAAGCGCGGGUCAUCAUCCCGCGCUGAAUACGUCCCUGCCCUUUGUACACACCGCCCGUCGCUCCUACCGAUUGAGUGGUCCGGUGAGGCUUUGGGAUCUGAGCGGAAAGAGCGUUUCGCUGUUUCUGCUCGGAAAACUCAGUCGAACCUUAUCAUUUAGAGGACGGAGAAGUCGUAACA
rnacentral:rRNA from 1 species